rnacentral:rRNA from 1 species
UACGUAGGGGGCAAGCGUUGUCCGGAAUCAUUGGGCGUAAAGCGCGUGUAGGCUGCUCGGUAAGUCUGCUGUGAAAGUCCAGGGCUCAACCCUGGGAUGCCGGUGGAUACUGUCGAGCUCGAGUCCGGAAGAGGCGAGUGGAAUUCCUGGUGUAGCGGUGAAAUGCGCAGAUAUCAGGAGGAACACCAAUGGCGAAGGCAGCUCGCUGGGACGUGACUGACGCUGAGACGCGAAAGCGUGGGGAGCAAACAGG